CUGACUUCCUGUCAUGAUGUGCUGAUGAAGACAGAAGAAUAAAUAGGGUGGUCUUCCAUGGCUAGGGCUCUUUGCUUCCUGGGUCGGGACUUUGGUGGAGCGGACUGUUUGAACAGUGAAAGAAAAUUUUCAUCCUCAAGCGACUGAAAAUCCCUAACAUCUAAGGCAACAAAAAAUCUGUGACUGGUGAUUGUUUAUGGAGCCAGAAAUGGGUAUAUUCUAAAGGAUAAAGCAAGCUUCCUACCAUUUGUUUCCCAACCUGGCUGGGACUCCUGCAAGGAGGACAAGCUAAUGUAAGCCUCCAGGUGAAGGAGGGAGCUAGAAUCCAUGAUGCGAUUUAUCAGAUGCCAGAUGGUGAAUAUCAAAGUGCGGAGAGCCCAAGCAGUAGCAAAGAUGUGGACUCACUUAAUCUCUGGCUAUGCAGUAUGUAGAAGUGAAAUUGGGAUGAUCAAUGAUCAAUUCUAUGUAGAGACUGCUUCCAUUUUGAGCCCUUUCUCCAGGAAUGGCGGUGAUAUAGGGGAGAACUAUCCCUGUGUGUUAGGGGUGGGAAUAAUUUGUAACAUUAUAUCUUUGCAGUAAAUGGUUUUUAAAAAAUAUUUGUCCAUUUGAUGUAAGUUAUUACUUUUGUUGGCA